rnacentral:lncRNA from 1 species
UUUAAUUGUAGUUUUGGUCUCCUAUUUUCACCAUUUUGUGAAAUUGGUCUCCCUGUUGUAAAAUUCGAUAGUUUUGGUUUCUCAAUCUAAUAAUUUGUCUAAAACAUGGUGAUAUGACAUGUUACAUGGUGAUAUGACAUGUUUUAAAUGAAGUUUUUAAGGAAAUUUUUUACGAUUUCAUGGAUGUUGAUAUUUUAUCAUCUUUAGAUCGUAUACCACGACAUUUAAAACCUAUCACAUCACCUUUUUUAGUUUUAAAAUAUGAUGGAGGGACCAAAACUGUCGAACUUUAAAAUAUGGGUUCCAAUAAGAUAAAAAUAAAGGGAUCAAAAGUGCAAUUAAGCCUAUUUUAAAUUUAGCAUAGCCUCACAUAAGACAUUAUAUUCUAUGUGUUAAACAUUAUGAAUGUCCUACAUUAAAGAAAAUUAUUUGUGUACACCCUUUAUUCAUUCUACAUCAAGAGAGAUUGAGAUAAAUAGAGUGAUGUGAUAUAUGUGAUAAGUAAGUGAUAAAAUAUAAAUAGAGAGAUAAAAAAUAUGAUUUUUUUUUGCAAAAUUUUAUUCAAAAAUAUGAAUUCUACAU